rnacentral:rRNA from 1 species
AAGGAUCAUAGUAAUCGUCUUUGACGUUCGCUUUUCCCUCGUCCUCGGGACAUUAAGGUGCUCUGGUCGAGGAUAAACGACCCCUCUGACCGAGGUCAAACCCGUCGCUCUGUGUUACCUCUAAAAAUUUUUUUUCCGAGGCACACCUUAAAGAUCGUUCCGCAUUGCGAGUCUAACACCAGUUGUAUAAACUUUUUACAACCGGUAGCGCUGGAUCCCUUGGCACGUCAUUCGAUGAAGACCGUUGCAAAUUGCGAUAAAGUGAUGUGAUGCGCAAGUCCACCACUUAUACGUGAAUCAUCGAGUUGUUGAACGCAUUGCACCGCGCCCUAAUCCGGCUGCGGUAUGCCCCUUUGAGCGUCAUUGUAUUCCUUCGGGAGUCCUUUUACAAGGACCCGAGUUCGGAGUCCUCGGUCCCCUGUGGAUCGUGUUCUCUCAGAUCCCUCGCACCGAUCGCCUGAUGCGUCCUCUAAUGCCUAAGCGUGGAGUUCCUUCAGAGUCCGAGAGGUGCUUGACCGAGUCUUGAGCUCGUGUCACCAAGUCUGCCUAACAGCAGUACUACAACGCAUGACCUCAUUGGGGUAGGACAACCCGCUAGACUUAAGCAUAUUAAUCAGCGGAGGAAAAGAAACUAACCAGGAUUCCCUCAGUAACUGCGAG